UCCGGUUUGGCACCGGCAGUCCCCCGCGAGUCCUCAGCAGCUUGCGCCCUGUUAGCAACACGGGGCGGGGGUUGCGCUCGUUGCGGGACUUAACCCAACAUCUCACGACACGAGCUGACGACAGCCAUGCAGCACCUGUGCACGGGCUCCGAAGAGAGGCCACUGUUUCCAGCAGCUGUCCCGUGCAUGUCAAGCCUAGGUAAGGUUCUGCGCGUUGCGUCGAAUUAAACCACAUGCUCCACCGCUUGUGCGGGCCCCCGUCAAUUCCUUUGAGUUUCAGCCUUGCGGCCGUACUCCCCAGGCGGGGCACUUCAUGCGUUAGCGCCGGUACCCCGGGGGUCGCUCCCCAAAGCACCUAGUGCCCAUCGUUUACGGCGUGGACUAC
rnacentral:misc_RNA from 1 species